GUCGCGCGGCGUGUCGGCCGGCCCUCCGCGGCAGGGCGUAGGCGCACCCGGGCCAGCGCGCUUUCGUUUUCGUCUGGGACAAAGGUCCCUCACGGCGCCGGUAGCGGACCGGGUCCUGGGGGCCGCUAAUCCACGCAGGCCAGUGGUUCAAUUCAAGGAAGCAGGAGCCCGAAGGAGAGGAGCGGGCCAGUUCGCAGCGCGCCGCGGGGCCGAGGAAGUGGGGCCUGGUCCGUGCGCUUCGCCGGCGCCCGCCACAGCCAUACCACCUUACCGAGAGUUGCGGUAGCUGGCACCACUCUGCUCUCCUCCGCUGCGACGCAGGAAGGAGAGAAGUGUUUGGAACCCAGGACUCAGACCGAUGGCCGCAGGCCUAUGCAGCGGUGGCCACUGUUAGCGCAGCGCUGGCUGCGGCGAGGCGCGGCGCGGUCUUCCAGCAAGGGCUGGGCUGUCGAACUGUGCGUCCCGGGUCAGAAGAAGACUCCUGAGGACGAUCACCGCCCAUCCCAGACCAAGGCACCAUCUAAGAAGGCGGGAAAAGCCUCCAGAACUCCAAGGCCCAGGAGCUGGGCAGGAAAGUGCUCGCCCCAGUCAGGAGCAGCCCAGGAGUCCCUGUUAUUCUACAGAAGCUCAGUGACAUGAUGGAGCUGUGUCCCAGCAAGCCAUGGUCAGUUGAAAAUGCAGUCAGUACACCUGACCUACCGAGCAUCAGGGAACGCUGACACACCUGACACCGAGCCUGUUCCAUAAAGAAGCACUAAAUAUCUCAGGCUCACUCCUCUGACUUCCCAGCACCAGCAGGUCAGAAGAACCACCUUCUGAAGGGCCAGGAGCACAGCUGGGCAUCUCUAGGAAGUCCCCAGCAGCCAUCAGAGAGGAGAGCAGCAGCAGGGGGACAGUGUGCUCUGCCUGCCUGCCAGAUGUCAGUGCCUGUAAGUCCCUGUAAUAGGUCCCUUUUAGGGCAGAAGUUAGAGACAUUUGCAUGUGAAGAACUGGAAGUGGUGUCUGAUAGAGAUAGAUCAAUAAUGGUUUUCUGGGCAGCAUAGGGUGGUGCCAGGUGGACCCCACUGUGCCAGGUGUACUCUACAUAACUGUAAGUUGGUUCCUCACUGGAAGGGACCCUGCAUAGACUAACUGCAGGGCCCUUUUCCAGACACCCGUGAGCCCCUGGCAGAACCUUUGCGGCCUGGGAAGGUUGCUGGACACGCCCUUCCCAGACUCCUCUCCCUGCGGUUCCUGGACAGAACUUUCUGUCACCACAAAGUGAAGUUUGCACAGGCCCUGCCUUCUCUCUGCAGAAACCCCGCUGAAGAUGGAAC